rnacentral:tRNA from 1 species
GGGGAUAUAAUUCAGUUGGUAGAGCACUUGCCUAGCAUGUAUAAAGCCCUGGGUUCAAUCCCCAGCAUCACCA